rnacentral:lncRNA from 1 species
GCUGGAUGAUCUUUGCAGCUGCUCACAUCAUGGUGGUAGAUGGGAAGCAGAGGGCUCAGGCUGGAAGCAGAGGCAGGUUAUACCCUCCAGCAUCAGCUCAUAGUGCCCUAUCCCGGGAGGGACAUGCCACAUCGAAACUGUAGCACCAUUUUUUCAUACAAGUUGGGUGAAACCAGAGCUUCUGCCUGCAUGGAACAAGAGCAAGAGAAAGAUACUCACCGAAGUCUAC